rfam:Desulfotomaculum acetoxidans DSM 771, complete genome.
GUGAGCUGCUUGAGGGAAAACCUCACGAGCAGUUCUUAUGGGGAGGGGUUGGAAACGGGUCAGAACUGAUACCGCGCCAGUCCUUUACCCGAC